rnacentral:lncRNA from 1 species
AUUGCUUUACACUGUUGUGGCUCCAUUUCCUCCUUGCUGUGCUCUGCAUCUGCUCUUAGGAAGAUGGAAACAAAUAUUUAUUAACCUCCUACUAAGUUCCAAACACUAGGCUGAGAGUUACCCCUAGGAUGUCCCAAUCUUUGAAGGCUCUCCCUUCUAACUGUCUGCCCAUGGUGCCCCUGACUUCCAGAGGGGCAUCUCUCUCUUUCUACUCUCUCAGCAUGUCUUUAAACAUGUUUAUAGUGUUUAAUCAGGUCUGUCUUUAUCAGAGUUACUUACAGGAAGUGUUGCUUUGAAUGAGUCUUUGUAUCAAGGGAGGCUUUUUAUCCUACGUAGCUCAGGGCUAGCAGACCACUUUUGUGAAUCAUUCUGAGAGUGCUGAAUGCCUCAGGAAUGCAUACAGGGGCCAGGAAUGGAAAUCCAAAUGAGCAAGUGGGCUGAGUGAGGACUGUGGCAACUUGCAGCUCUAGGCUGGUGGGACGAUCUGGCUGUGCCAUCUGCCAACCCACUGAAAGCCAGGGUGGGUUUGGCUGACCCGGCUGCCAGGGCAGACCUCUCCUCCCGUCUCUGCUUGCCGUUCCAUCUACAUCUCCCCUAAUCUACUCUCCUGAAGAGGACGACCCACCCACAGCAUCCCAAAGGGACUUGAUGCUAUUUCUUGGACAAACAGAAGCCAUAUGUUUACUACACAAAUAAAUAAUGUGAGGCUUUCUCUUGAUUUCUCCUGCU